UACAGAGGGGGCAAGCGUUGUUCGGAAUUACUGGGCGUAAAGGGCGCGUAGGCGGCCUGCUAAGUCGAACGUGAAAUCCCCAGGCUUAACCUGGGAACUGCGUGUGAUACUGGAUGGCUUGAAUUCGGGAGAGGGAUGCAGAAUUCCAGGUGUAGCGGUGAAAUGCGUAGAUAUCUGGAGGAAUACCGGUGGCGAAGGCGGCAUCCUGGACCGACAUUGACGCUGAGGAGCGAAAGCUAGGGGAGCAAACGGG
rnacentral:rRNA from 1 species